rnacentral:tRNA from 1 species
UAAGAGCGUGCAUCUUAGUUAGGCGUCCACACUUAUCGGUUUGUUUGAUGUUACAGCCAAGGGUCUGUAGCUCAGGUGGUUAGAGCACCGUCUUGAUAAGGCGGGGGUCGUAGGUUCAAGUCCUACCAGACCCACCAAGUUACGGGCGGCGGAGAGCGAUCUUGCCGUGAACUGGGGGAUUAGCUCAGCUGGGAGAGCACCUGCUUUGCAAGCAGGGGGUCGUCGGUUCGAUUCCGUCAUCCUCCACCAACACCUUGUGGUAGCCAAACGCAAGCAUCGAGAGAUCGGUGUUUGCGUUUGGCAUUGCCAAGACGAGUAGUAACUCGGCUGUUCUUUAACAAUAUGGAAUGUAGUAAAGGUGUCGCGGCGCGUUGAUGAGGCGCGCAAUUUAAACGCGACACUGGGUUGUGAUUGUAUCAACCAGUAUUACGAGUGAUCGAAAGACCGCUUGGAAUACGGCACAACGCGAGAACUCAGC